rnacentral:misc_RNA from 1 species
AUAGACCUAUUUAUCCAGACAACAGAUGGGAAAAAGAUUAUCGAUGAUGAGAACAUAAAAUCUUUGUGUUCCCGCUUGAAGGAAGAGAUGCUUCAUCCACUUCGAGUCACUGUUGGCAGUCGUGGCCCAGAUACAGAACUACUGGUUGCCAACCCCGUUGAGUUAUGCGGAAAGGGAAGGCCACGUGUUUUCUAUGAUGUCACAAUUGCCUUAAAAGAGCUCGGGAUCUGUGUUUUCUCUGCUGAAAUUGCAAGACAUUCAACAGCAGAGAGGCAAUGGGAAGUUUAUAGGUUCCGAUUGGAUGAAAGCCCCGCGUACCCAUUAGCUAGCAAGAAAGCUCGGACUGAUAUCCUGGAUAGAGUGAAAAAAACACUAAUGGGCUGGUGAAAAUUCAAAAAUGUACAAAUAGCAUCAAGUCUUUUGACUCAGCUCAGCAACGUCCAACGGUCACCAUGUAUGUAACAUCUGCAAGAAAACAAACAGAAGCUUAAGGAGAACCUUGAGCCAUCGGAGAACCAUCGCCUCGAGAGCUGAUUCUGUGACUUAUCUAGGUUUCUUUUAAGUUAA